rnacentral:rRNA from 1 species
AUUGAACGCUGGCGGCAGGCCUAACACAUGCAAGUCGGACGGUAGCACAGAGAGCUUGCUCUCGGGUGACGAGUGGCGGACGGGUGAGUAAUGUAUGGGGAUCUGCCCGAUAGAGGGGGAUAACCACUGGAAACGGUGGCUAAUACCGCAUAACGUCGCAAGACCAAAGAGGGGGACCUUCGGGCCUCUCACUAUCGGAUGAACCCAGAUGGGAUUAGCUAGUAGGCGGGGUAACGGCCCACCUAGGCGACGAUCCCUAGCUGGUCUGAUAGGAUGACCAGCCACACUGGAACUGAGACACGGUCCAGACUCCUACGGGAGGCAGCAGUGGGGAAUAUUGCACAAUGGGCGCAAGCCUGAUGCAGCCAUGCCGCGUGUAUGAAGAAGGCCUUCGGGUUGUAAAGUACUUUCAGCGGGGAGGAAGGCGAUGUGGUUAAUAACCGCAUUGAUUGACGUUACCCGCAGAAGAAGCACCGGCUAACUCCGUGCCAGCCGCCGCCGUAA